GUAUUUACAAUGUUUACAAAACAAUUAAUUUGUGAUUUACGCUAAUGAGCUUGGGUGUGUAUAAAGUGAGGAUAUGGCUUUCCAUUGAUGAUCACCUAAAAACUACUCAAACGGCGUCUUUAAUCUUGUUAUAUUUUCUUUUGAAAAGAAAGACUGAGAUAAAACAUAAUGAAUAGAAAUCAAAAUUUUCUUAAAUCUCUUGUAAUCGAGAAUAAACAAUUUUUGUCAGCUAUAACCGAC
rnacentral:lncRNA from 1 species